rnacentral:piRNA from 1 species
UACCACGAUUGGGAUGCAGCGGGUCAGC